GACGAAGGAUGCAAGCGUUAUCCGGAUUCAUUGGGCUUAAAGGGAGCGUAGGCGGACUUAUAAGUCAGUGGUGAAAUCUCCUUGCUUAACAAGGAAACUGCCAUUGAUACUGUAGGUCUUGAGUACAGUUGCCGUUGGCGGAAUAUGACAUGUAGUGGUGAAAUACUUAGAUAUGUCAUAGAACACCGAUUGCGAAGGCAGCUAACGAAGCUGUAACUGACGCUGAGGCUCGAAAGUGCGGGGAUCAAACAGG
rnacentral:rRNA from 1 species